GCUCUCUCUCUUUUAUGCCAACUGUUUGCUUUUGUAGCUUUUCAAGAUAAUUUUGUAGCUUUAUCAGUAGAAGUGGUGUGUAGUUUUCACUGUACCUUAUAAAGGCAAAAAGUUAAACUGUCCUUUUAAGGAGAUGACUUGAUGGUGUCUAUUAUUUAACAGGUUUAAUUCCAGAAAUGUGAACUUGAACUGCUUAAGGUAAUUGCAAUGUGUAAGAGUAAGUAAAUCCAAAUAAUCACAUUGAUUGCAAGUAGAACAGGAUUGUUUAAUAAGCUAUGUCUAAGGAAAAAGAAAUUCUUUGUCUUCACCCCCAUCUACUUGGUGAAAAUAUUCUGAAACAUUGGAAAUUGUGCCUUGUGAAAGGCACAAAAAUCAUUCUGACUUGGUGUGUUUAAUAUAUAUUUAUGAUAGAUGUGUGAUGGCAUGAUUUUCAUUAGAAGUACACAUUAAUAAAAAUGUUUACAAAAUAUUUUAAAACAAUUACAGUUAUUGCUGCCAUCAACAACUGGUGUUAAUACUAACAGUUGUAAAAGGCCCUGCCUGCUCAUUCGGAAGUGCAUACCUUUACUAUGCCCUUAUGAAACCAAAUCACCUCAACGCCUAUGUUUAUCUUCAGUAUAUUGCUAAAAAGCAUUGCUUGUGUGUGUCAUCAGAACUGGUGUGAUAUGAAGAAACCAAUAUAUCAUACUUGAAGGCAUACCUAUUUGUUCUAAUUGCCACAGGCAAAAGGGGAGGUCCAAGGCUGAAUAAAGAAGGUUAUUGUGACAGAGGGCACUUAAUUCACAAUGAGCACUCUUUUCAUCCAGCCUUGGGAAGCACAGAAUUCCUUCAAAGCUGAUUUUUGUGACAGAAUGUACGAGCUGAUGUUUUGAGUAUAUGAGGGUACAGUGAAAACAGCAAACUCAUUUCUCCUCAGCUCAGGGGUGUUUAUAUUGUGUCUGGUUGGGGAUCGGAUUUUGUUCUACCACAGAAGAUAUUCCAGCCAGAAGAGUGUUGACAGAGAGAAUAGAAGGGAGAGUAGGAAAUAAGAAACUUCAGGAACUAAAAGUUUUUAUUCUAGAUAAUGACAAAUGAUGACUUAAAUGUAUUUCUACAUUCGUUGCCAUGAACAUAAAACAGUUAUAGGUUUCUCAGCAGACACGCAAGCUGCAAAAUUUUUCAGGCCACAACAUUUUUCAUACUGCUGUCUUCUUCCUCCUCCCUCAAACACAUUUUGCCAUAAACUUCUGUACCAAUCAAAAGGAAAGACUCAAAUAGCAAUAGCAAUUCAGGAAGCAAGCUUGUGAAUG